UACAGAGGGGGCCAGCGUUAUUCGGAAUUAUUGGGCGUAAAGCGCGUGUAGGCGGCUUGGCAAGUCGGGUGUGAAAUCCCUCAGCUUAACUGAGGAAGUGCGCCCGAAACUGCUUUGCUUGAGUGCCGGAGAGGAUGGCGGAAUUCCCCAAGUAGAGGUGAAAUUCGUAGAUAUGGGGAGGAACACCGGUGGCGAAGGCGGCCAUCUGGACGGUAACUGACGCUGAGACGCGAAAGCGUGGGGAGCGAACAGG
rnacentral:rRNA from 1 species